UACGUAGGUGACAAGCGUUGUCCGGAUUUACUGGGCGUAAAGCGUGCGCAGGCGGCUUCUCAAGUCAGGGGUGAAAGCCCAGAGCUCAACUCUGGAAUUGCCUUUGAGACUGAGUGGCUUGAGUACGAGAGAGGUGAGUGGAAUUCCCAGUGUAGAGGUGAAAUUCGUAGAUAUUGGGAAGAACACCGGUGGCGAAGGCGGCUCACUGGCUCGUAACUGACGCUCAUGCACGACAGCGUGGGGAUCAAACAGG
rnacentral:rRNA from 1 species